CUGCAGCCCGAGUGGUGAUCGAUUUUAUUGAGCCUAAAGCGUCCGUAGCCGGACUAGUAAACCCUUGGGUAAAUUGGGCAGCUUAACUGUCCAAAUUCCAAGGGGACUGCUAGUCUUGGGACCGGGAGAGGUCAGAGGUACUCAAGGGGUAGGGGCUAAAUCCUGUAAUCCUUUGGGGACCACCAGUGGCGAAGGCGUCUGACUAGAACGGAUCCGACGGUAAGGGACGAAACCCUGGGGCGCGAACCGGAUUAGAUACCCGAGUAGUCC
rnacentral:rRNA from 1 species